rnacentral:lncRNA from 1 species
AAAGACACAAACUAGAGGUCCUGGUUUUGUCCCAGUACCAGAACAAAGGUGGAGAGCUGCUCUACAUUUUGCAUCUGCCUUCUUUAAUUUGAGUCAGUGUUAUGAACCAAUGUCUUGUUUUUCUUGCAGAACCACCACCACAUCCCCCCAUAGCAUUGAUUGUGGGGAGUCUGGUGGGGAUCAUGUGUGGCCUUGGUGCUGUUGUUGUUGUUGCUUUUCUUUACCGAAGACGACAGAAGAAUAAAACCGCAAACACAAUGAACGCAGUCUCCCAGGUUCCUCCUGCUCCACAGCCAGAGCAGAGUGACGCUGAUCCUCCGAACCCGAC